rnacentral:rRNA from 1 species
UACGUAGGUGGCAAGCGUUGUCCGGAUUUAUUGGGCGUAAAGCGCGCGCAGGCGGCUAUGUAAGUCUGGUGUUAAAGCCCGGAGCUCAACUCCGGUUCGCAUCGGAAACUGUGUAGCUUGAGUGCAGAAGAGGAAAGCGGUAUUCCACGUGUAGCGGUGAAAUGCGUAGAGAUGUGGAGGAACACCAGUGGCGAAGGCGGCUUUCUGGUCUGAUACUGACGCUGAGGCGCGAAAGCGUGGGGAGCGAUCCGG